rnacentral:rRNA from 1 species
AACGAACGUUGGCGGCGUGGAUUAGGCAUGCAAGUCGAACGCGAAAGGGGAGCUUGCUCCCUGAGUAGAGUGGCGAACGGGUGAGUAUCGCGUGGGAAAUCUGCCCUGAAGCGGGGAAUAACACUCCCAACGGGGUGCUAAUACCGCAUGACAUCGCCGGGUGGCAUCACCUGGCGAUCAAAGAUGGGGACCGCAAGGCCUGUCACUUCAGGAUGAUCCCGCGUCCGAUUAGCUUGUUGGUAGGGUAACGGCCUACCAAGGCAACGAUCGGUAGCUGGUCUGAGAGGAUGGUCAGCCACACUGGGACUGAGAUACGGCCCAGACUCCUACGGGAGGCAG